rfam:Myotis davidii contig96707, whole genome shotgun sequence.
GGUGGUUCGCCAGUGACGCAACCCAGAAUUGGGCUCCCUCCUCUCCGGUUCCAGGUGCAUCACCCGAGAACCACA